rnacentral:lncRNA from 1 species
UGCCCACCGCCGCCAGAGGCGCCAGGGCGCGGGGCGCAGCCGCGAGGAGCGGGCACCGGAGGAUGAGGUUCUGGGACGAGGAGAUGGCUCUGGAGGAGAUGGUGCAGAGGCUGGAUGCGGUUUCCAGGCGCACGGGUCGCUGGAGCCUGCCCGGCGCCGCGCAGCUGCAGGGAAGCUGAGGCCUUGGUCACCCUGUGCGUGACCGUCCUGAAGAGUUGGAGCUGCCUCUGCUUCUCAGUGACCCCUGAGGGAGACCUGAUGGCUGAGAAGGGAGCAUCUUGGGGGGCCGCACGUCGGCUCUGGUCCCUGACGCGGAGGCGCCGGGGAGCAGCGGGGCGCCUGGAGCCAGGUGAGGUGCAGGGCAGGGUCGUGCGUGCCCUGGGGUGGGCUUCUGUCACAUGUGAGGAGCUGUGAGCCUCUCAGGACUCCUCAAGCAGGGGUGGGCGUCGGGCGUCUUGGCACCGGCUGGCCGGGCCCAGGGCAGCCGGCUCAUUUCUGGUCUGCGUGUGUCCCCUUUCUGACCUGUCGGAGUGGCCGUCACUGUGAGGGUCGUAGGGAGGAAGCGCGUGCACAUCCGAGGGGACUCCCAGCCCGGGCCUGUCCCCAUGAAGGGUGGGGCAGCUGUCAUCCCUGGGGUCCCCAGUGGCUCUGUCUUCACUGCCUCAGCCCCCUGAUGAGGUUUCUCUUUUGGAGCCACCCAUUGCGCUCAGUGGGAUGCGCGAUUUAAAUUCUCACAACUCAGAAUAACAUUUUACAAAUUAACUUCCAAAGGAGCAAGGAUAUCAGGAGCCGGGUCAGGGAAGGGAGCCUGUGGCUGGCUUCUGUCCCCUGCCAGGAGCUGUGCCUGGAGCUCCCCUCCAGGGACCUGGACUCUGGGUUUGGCUGGGGAGCUUGGGGCGGUGGCACCCUCUGACCUCAGGCGUUGCAGGGUGUGCAGGUGCGUAGAUGCUUACAGUACGCUGACCCUAGAAAUAGGGGCCAGCCCCACACCUGCCUUAGGCCACUCGUCGCUGUGGUUUGGG